rnacentral:rRNA from 1 species
AAGAGUUUGAUCCUGGCUCAGAACGAACGCUGGCGGCAGGCCUAACACAUGCAAGUCGAACGCACCGCAAGGUGAGUGGCGCACGGGUGAGUAACACGUGGGAAUGUACCCUUUGGUUCGGAAUAACGUUUGGAAACGAACGCUAAUACCGGAUGAGCCCUGCGGGGGAAAGAUUUAUCGCCAAAGGAGCAGCCCGCGUCUGGUUAGCUAGUUGGUGGGGUAAAGGCCUACCAAGGCGACGAUCAGUAGCUGGUCUGAGAGGAUGAUCAGCCACACUGGGACUGAGACACGGCCCAGACUCCUACGGGAGGCAGCAGUGGGGAAUAUUGGACAAUGGGCGCAAGCCUGAUCCAGCCAUGCCGCGUGAGUGAUGAAGGCCUUCGGGUUGUAAAGCUCUUUCGCACGCGACGAUGAUGACGGUAGCGUGAGAAGAAGCCCCGGCUAACUUCGUG